CCCAAUCCUAAUUCUACUUUGUGUGCAAGCCAAGUCUCCUACUUGUACUAGAAGUCUAUUAGUCUAGGGUUUAGUCUACUAUAUAUACACAUGUUAUGAUUCAUUGUAACACAGGAUUUGUACUACACUCUAAUAUAUUAUUAAUGUAGCCCUUUAGGGUUUCCUCCGUGGAUGUAGGCCGUUAGGCUGAACCACGUAACCCUCGUGUGUUA